rnacentral:rRNA from 1 species
UACAGAGGGGGCAAGCGUUAUUCGGAAUUAUUGGGCGUAAAGGGCUCGUAGGUGGCCAACUAAGUCAGACGUGAAAUCCCUCAGCUUAACUGGGGAACUGCGUCUGAUACUGGAUGGCUUGAGUUUGGGAGAGGGAUGCGGAAUUCCAGGUGUAGCGGUGAAAUGCGUAGAUAUCUGGAGGAACACCGGUGGCGAAGGCGGCAUCCUGGACCAACACUGACACUGAGGAGCGAAAGCGUGGGGAGCGAACAGG